GAGUUUGAUCAUGGCUCAGGACGAACGCUGGCGGUGUGCUUAAUACAUGCAAGUCGAACGGCCCUUCGGGGCAGUGGCGGACGGCUGAGUAACGCGUAGGUAACGUGCCUCUUACUGGGGGAUAACAUCGGGAAACCGGUGCUAAUACCGCAUAAGUCACGAGUUGAAAUACUUGUGAUUAAAGAAUUUCGGUAAGAGAUCGGCCUGCGUCUGAUUAGCUAGUUGGUAGGGUAAUGGCCUACCAAGGCGAUGAUCAGUAGUUGGUCUGAGAGGAUGACCAGCCAGAGUGGGACUGAGAACGGCCCACACUUCUACGGAAGGCAGCAGUAGGGAAUUUUUGCGCAAUGGGCGAAAGCCUGACGCAGCAACACCGCGUGCGGGAUGAAGGCCUCGGUUGUAACGACUGUCGGCAGGGAAGUAAAUUAGACUGUACCUGCAAAGGAAGACACCGGCUAACUACGUAGCCAGCAGCCGCA
rnacentral:rRNA from 1 species